rnacentral:rRNA from 1 species
CCUACGGGAGGCAGCAGUGAGGAAUAUUGGUCAAUGGGCGGAAGCCUGAACCAGCCAAGUCGCGUGAGGGAAUAAGGCCCUACGGGUCGUAAACCUCUUUUGCCGGGGAGCAAGGGCGGGGACGUGUCCCGGCCCGGAGAGUACCCUGAGACAAAGCAUCGGCUAACUCCGUCCCAGCAGCCGCGGUAAUAAGGGGGAUUCGAGCGUUAUCCGGAUUUGUUGGGUUUAAGGGGUUCGUGAGCGGGCUUUCAAGUCAGCGGUAAAAAUUCGGGGCUCAACCCCGUCCGGCCGUUGAAACUGGGGGCCUUGAGUGGGCGAGAAGAAGGCGGAAUGCGUGGUGUAGCGGUGAAAUGCAUAGAUAUCACGCAGAACCCCGAUUGCGAAGGCAGCCUUCCGGCGCCCUACUGACGCUGAGGCACGAAAGUGCGGGGAUCGAACAGGAUUAGAUACCCCGGUAGUC